rnacentral:rRNA from 1 species
AUUGAACGCUGGCGGCAGGCUUAACACAUGCAAGUCGAGCGGAGAGAGGUAGCUUGCUACUGAUCUUAGCGGCGGACGGGUGAGUAAUGCUUAGGAAUCUGCCUAUUAGUGGGGGACAACAUUUCGAAAGGAAUGCUAAUACCGCAUACGUCCUACGGGAGAAAGCAGGGGACCUUCGGACCUUGCGCUAAUAGAUGAGCCUAAGUCGGAUUAGCUAGUUGGUGGGGUAAAGGCCUACCAAGGCGACGAUCUGUAGCGGGUCUGAGAGGAUGAUCCGCCACACUGGGACUGAGACACGGCCCAGACUCCUACGGGAGGCAGCAGUGGGGAAUAUUGGACAAUGGGCGCAAGCCUGAUCCAGCCAUGCCGCGUGUGUGAAGAAGGCCUUAUGGUUGUAAAGCACUUUAAGCGAGGAGGAGGCUACUUUAGAUAAUACCUAGAGAUAGUGGACGUUACUCGCAGAAUAAGCACCGGCUAACUCUGUGCCAGCCGCCGCGGUAAAAC